rnacentral:pre_miRNA from 13 species
ACCCAAACCCUAGGUCUGCUGACUCCUAGUCCAGGGCUCGUGAUAGCUGGUGUGCCCUGAAUGAGGAGUCUGGAGGCCUGUGUUUGAAUAUCGCCAC